rnacentral:rRNA from 1 species
GACGAACGCUGGCGGCGUGCUUAACACAUGCAAGUCGAACGGUAAGGCCCUUCGGGGUACACGAGUGGCGAACGGGUGAGUAACACGUGGGUGAUCUGCCCUGCACUUCGGGAUAAGACUGGGAAACUGGGUCUAAUACCGGAUAGGACUCCUGGCUUCAUGGUUGGGGGUGGAAAGCUUUUGCGGUGUGGGAUGGGCCCGCGGCCUAUCAGCUUGUUGGUGGGGUAAUGGCCUACCAAGGCGACGACGGGUAGCCGGCCUGAGAGGGUGACCGGUCACACUGGGACUGAGAUACGGCCCAGACUCCUACGGGAGGCAGCAGUGGGGAAUAUUGCACAAUGGGCGCAAGCCUGAUGCAGCGACGCCGCGUGAGGGAUGACGGCCUUCGGGUUGCAAACCUCUUUCAGCUAUGACGAAGCGCAAGUGACGGUAGUAGCAGAAGAAGGACCGGCCAACUACGUGCCAGCAGCCGCGGUAA